rnacentral:snRNA from 1 species
AGCUGCGCAAUGAGCACAUAGCGAACUAUUCUUUCGCCUUUUACUAAAGAAUACCGUGUGAUCGUUGCAAAUAAGCAGCUUAUCAUUAUUUUUGGAGGGAAUUUCCUGAAAAGGAU